GAUGAACGCUAGCGGCAGGCCUAACACAUGCAAGUCGAGGGAGAGGUUACCUUCGGGUAACCAAAACCGGCGCACGGGUGCGUAACGCGUAUACAAUCUGCCUUUCACAUAGGGAUAGCCCGAAGAAAUUUGGAUUAAUACCUAAUGGUAUAUAAGAGCGGCAUCGUUUUUAUAUUAAAGCUACGGUGGUGAAAGAUGAGUAUGCGUUCUAUUAACUAGUUGGAGAGGUAACGGCUCCCCAAGGCGACGAUAGAUAGGGGUUCUGAGAGGGGUGUCCCCCACACUGGUACUGAGAUACGGACCAGACUCCUACGGGAGGCAGCAGUGAGGAAUAUUGGACAAUGGUCGGAAGACUGAUCCAGCCAUGCCGCGUGCAGGAUGAAGGUCCUAUGGAUUGUAAACUGCUUUUGUAAGGGAAGAAUAAGGAGUACGUGUACUUUGAUGACGGUACCUUACGAAUAAGCAUCGGCUAACUCCGUGCCAGCAGCCGCGGUAAUACGGAGGAUGCGAGCGUUAUCCGGAAUCAUUGGGUUUAAAGGGUCCGUAGGCGGGCUGAUAAGUCAGAGGUGAAAGCGCUUAGCUCAACUAAGCAACUGCCUUUGAAACUGUCAGUCUUGAAUGAUUGUGAAGUAGUUGGAAUGUGUAGUGUAGCGGUGAAAUGCUUAGAUAUUACACAGAACACCGAUAGCGAAGGCAUAUUACUAACAAUUUAUUGACGCUGAUGGACGAAAGCGUGGGGAGCGAACAGG
rnacentral:rRNA from 1 species